rnacentral:rRNA from 1 species
UACGUAGGGGGCUAGCGUUGUCCGGAAUUACUGGGCGUAAAGGGCGCGCAGGCGGCCCUCCAAGUCAGGCGUGAAAGCCCCGGGCUCAACCCGGGAAUAGCGCUUGAGACUGGGGGGCUUGAGUUCGGGAGAGGAGAGUGGAAUUCCCAGUGUAGAGGUGAAAUUCGUAGAUAUUGGGAAGAACACCGGUGGCGAAGGCGGCUCUCUGGGCCGGCACUGACGCUGAGGCGCGAAAGCGUGGGGAGCAAACAGG